GAUGAACGCUAGCGGCAGGCUUAACACAUGCAAGUCGAGGGGCAGCAUGGGGAGUAGCAAUACUCUCUGAUGGCGACCGGCGCAAGGGUGCGUAACGCGUGAGCAACUUGCCCUCAUCAGGGGAAUAAUCGCUGGAAACGGCGUCUAAUGCCCCAUGGCGAUGGAAUCAGGCAUCUGGUUCCAUCUAAAGAUCCGUCGGAUGAGGAUAGGCUCGCGUGACAUUAGCUUGACGGCGGGGUAACGGCCCACCGUGGCGACGAUGUCUAGGGGUUCUGAGAGGAAGGUCCCCCACACUGGAACUGAGACACGGUCCAG
rnacentral:rRNA from 1 species